GACGAACGCUGGCGGCGUGCUUAACACAUGCAAGUCGAACGGAAAGGCCCUGCUUGCAGGGUGCUCGAGUGGCGAACGGGUGAGUAACACGUGGGUGAUCUGCCCCUUACUUUGGGAUAAGCCUGGGAAACUGGGUCUAAUACUGGAUAGGACCAUGCUGUAGGUGGUGUGGUGGAAAGAUUAGUUUCGGUAAGGGAUGAGCUCGCGGCCUAUCAGCUUGUUGGUGGGGUAAUGGCCUACCAAGGCGUCGACGGGUAGCCGGCCUGAGAGGGUGGACGGCCCCAUUGGGACUGCGACACGGCGCAGACUCCUACGGGAGGCCGCAGUGGGGGAUAUUGCACAAUGGGCGCAAGCCUGAUGCAGCGACGCCGCGUGGGUGAUGACGGCCUUCGGGUUGUAAACUCCUUUCAGCCAUGACGAAGCCCUUGUGGUGACGGUAGUGGUAGAAGAAGCACCGGCUAACUACGUG
rnacentral:rRNA from 1 species